rnacentral:rRNA from 2 species
UCUAAGGGCGUUGAAGCAUGAUCGUAAGGACAUGUGGAGCGCUUAGAAGUGAGAAUGCCGGUGUGAGUAGCGAAAGACGGGUGAGAAUCCCGUCCACCGAUUGACUAAGGUUUCCAGAGGAAGGCUCGUCCGCUCUGGGUUAGUCGGGUCCUAAGCUGAGGCCGACAGGCGUAGGCGAUGGAUAACAGGUUGAUAUUCCUGUACCACCUAUAAUCGUUUUAAUCGAUGGGGGGACGCAGUAGGAUAGGCGAAGCGUGCGAUUGGAUUGCACGUCUAAGCAGUAAGGCUGAGUAUUAGGCAAAUCCGGUACUCGUUAAGGCUGAGCUGUGAUGGGGAGAAGACAUUGAGUCUUCGAGUCGUUGAUUUCACACUGCCGAGAAAAGCCUCUAGAUAGAAAAUAGGUGCCCGUACCGCAAACCGACACAGGUAGUCAAGAUGAGAAUUCUAAGGUGAGCGAGCGAACUCUCGUUAAGGAACUCGGCAAAAUGACCCCGUAACUUCGGGAGAAGGGGUGCUCUUUAGGGUUAACGCCCAGAAGAGCCGCAGUGAAUAGGCCCAAGCGACUGUUUAUCAAAAACACAGGUCUCUGCUAAACCGUAAGGUGAUGUAUAGGGGCUGACGCCUGCCCGGUGCUGGAAGGUUAAGAGGAGUGGUUAGCUUCUGCGAAGCUACGAAUCGAAGCCCCAGUAAACGGCGGCCGUAACUAUAACGGUCCUAAGGUAGCGAAAUUCCUUGUCGGGUAAGUUCCGACCCGCACGAAAGGCGUAACGAUUUGGGCACUGUCUCAACGAGAGACUCGGUGAAAUCAUAGUACCUGUGAAGAUGCAGGUUACCCGCGACAGGACGGAAAGACCCCGUGGAGCUUUACUGUAGCCUGAUAUUGAAAUUCGGCACAGCUUGUACAGGAUAGGUAGGAGCCUUUGAAACGUGAGCGCUAGCUUACGUGGAGGCGCUGGUGGGAUACUACCCUAGCUGUGUUGGCUUUCUAACCCGCACCACUUAUCGUGGUGGGAGACAGUGUCAGGCGGGCAGUUUGACUGGGGCGGUCGCCUCCUAAAAGGUAACGGAGGCGCUCAAAGGUUCCCUCAGAAUGGUUGGAAAUCAUUCAUAGAGUGUAAAGGCAUAAGGGAGCUUGACUGCGAGACCUACAAGUCGAGCAGGGUCGAAAGACGGACUUAGUGAUCCGGUGGUUCCGCAUGGAAGGGCCAUCGCUCAACGGAUAAAAGCUACCCCGGGGAUAACAGGCUUAUCUCCCCCAAGAGUUCACAUCGACGGGGAGGUUUGGCACCUCGAUGUCGGCUCAUCGCAUCCUGGGGCUGUAGUCGGUCCCAAGGGUUGGGCUGUUCGCCCAUUAAAGCGGUACGCGAGCUGGGUUCAGAACGUCGUGAGACAGUUCGGUCCCUAUCCGUCGUGGGCGUAGGAAAUUUGAGAGGAGCUGUCCUUAGUACGAGAGGACCGGGAUGGACAUACCUCUGGUGUACCAGUUGUCGUGCCAACGGCAUAGCUGGGUAGCUAUGUGUGGACGGGAUAAGUGCUGAAAGCAUCUAAGCAUGAAGCCCCCCUCAAGAUGAGAUUUCCCAACUUCGGUUAUAAGAUCCCUCAAAGAUGAUGAGGUUAAUAGGUUCGAGGUGGAAGCAUGGUGACAUGUGGAGCUGACGAAUACUAAUCGAUCGAAGACUUAAUCAA